GGGAAGUACGGUCGCAAGACCGAAACUCAAAUGAAUUGACGGGGGCCUACACAAGCGGUGGAGCAUGUGGUUUAAUUCGAUACAACACGCAAAACCUUACCAGCCCUUGACAUAUGAACAACAAAACCUGUCCUUCACAGGAUGGUACUGACUUUCAUACAGGUGCUGCAUGGCUGUCGUCAGCUCGUGUCGUGAGAUGUUUGGUCAAGUCCUAUAACAAGCAAAACCCUCGUUUUGUGUUGCUGAGACAUGCGCCUAAGGAGAAAUUGCCACCGAGUGACGUGCCAGCGCUACUACUUGAUUGAGUGCCACCACGUAGCUGUGCUUUCAGCAAGAAUUUCACCAUUGGGAGCCGGUGCCUUUCGAAGCACUUUCACGUUUGAACCGAAGUCGUCUUGCCCAAGACCCAUAGAGACCUACCUAUAGUGACGUCAAAGUACCAGUGAGCAUGGAGGUUUGGUUGAAAUUGGUUACGACGACGUCGAGUUGGUGGCAGAGGAAGACUCGGCAUGAAGGCCAUAAAAUGGUGUGGAACGUAGUGGUAAUAGUACGCGCCCCGCUCCAAAACAAAGAAAAAGGUGCGUGCCGCACUCACGAGGGACUGCGAGUGAGAUAGUGGAGGAAGGUGGGGAUGACGUCAAGUCCGCAUGGCCCUUAUGGGCUGGGCCACACACGUGCUACAAUAGCAAUGACAAUGGGAAGCAAGGCUGUAAGGCAGAGCGAAUCCGGAAAGAUUGCCUCAGUUCGGAUUGUUCUCUGCAACUCGGGAACAUGAAGUUGAAAUCGCUAGUAAUCGCGGAUCAUCACGCCGCUGUGAAUAUGUACCCAGGCCCUGUACACACCACCCGUCACACCCUGGGAGUUGGUUUCGCCCGAAGCAUCGGACCAAUGAUCACCCGUCACUUUUGUGUACCACUAGUGCCAUAAAGGCCUUUGGUGGUCUUAUUGGCGCAUACCAUGGUGGGGUCUUCGACUGGGGUGAAGUCGUAACAAGGUAGCCGUAGGGGAACCUAUGGCUG
rnacentral:rRNA from 1 species